CCCAGCCCCGGCUGCAGAAGUGCACUCCGCCUCUUGUCCCCGUCUCCUUCUCCAGCCCUUCAGCUUGUGCUGCAGGCACAAGCCUGGCACACAGGCAGUGCAGCCACGGCAGACCUGGAUCCCAUGCAGCCCAGCCUGGCCCACCAUGCAUCAGGGGAACCCAAGGCACUCAUUCUCCUGCCAGCCGACAGAGCACCCCGAAAGGACAGAGAGGAGCCACAGACAUGGAUGCCCUGGGCCCUACCUGUUUGCCCGCUGAGCCCUGCACCAUUCUUGCACCUGGAUGUGUUGGGCAUGGGAAUGCAUCCGACCUGGGGUCAGAAGCACAGGAGGGCACGGGACCUGUCUGUCCACACCCCAGAUGCACACAGCUCUCCCCUGUUGUGUGGUCUCAGGAGCCUUUCAUAGACUAUGGUGGCUGAUGGCAGCAUGGCUCUUAGGGACACCCAUGAGCCACGCUAGGCCUGCCCUUCCUCAGCAUGUCCCCAGACCUUGGAGAGUCUGCCAAGCUGCAGCGAAGCCAGCUCCUGUGAAGUCCCCUGCGUGGAUGGGAGCUACUCCUCUCAGUGACCAGGACAUCUUGCCAAGCAGGAAGCUCCCUUGUUGCAUAAGUGGUGUCCCAGUGGGAGAUUCCCUGACAUCACUGUUCUCUUGC
rnacentral:lncRNA from 1 species